rnacentral:sRNA from 1 species
GGGAUUAUCUCCUGCUUGUUGAAUGCGUCCCUUGCGGGACCCUUUUGGUGUCUGAUUCAAAUGAACCGGGAGCACCAUCUACGUAGGCCAGCAAACUGAUUAAGCGAAAACACCUACGGUCUUGGACGGCCCCCGCCAGGCAGGGACCCCAAAUCUUACUUGUCUGACAGGGAUGCCAGA